ensembl:lncRNA
AAGAGGAGGAGGAGGGAAAACCAGUCUAGUAUAAAUAAAUUAGAGAGGAGGAGUAGGGAGACCAGCCUAGUAUAGAUACAUUAGAGAGGAGGAGGAGGGAGAACCAGUCUAGUAUAGCUACAUUUGAGAGGAGGAGGAGGGAGAACCAGUCUAGUACAGUUACAUUAAAGAGGAGGAGGAGGGAGAACCAGUCUAUGAUAGAUAUAUUAGAGAGGAGGAGGAGGGACAACCAGUCUAGUAUAGAUACAUUAUUGAGAAUAGGAGAAGGGAAAACCAGUAUAGUAUAGAUACAUUAGAGAGGAGGAUGGAAAACCAGUCUAGUACAGCUACAUUAGAGAGGCGGGGGAGAGAGAACCUGUCUAGUACAGCUCCAUUAAAGAUGAGCGAGAUCCAGUCUAGUAUAGCUACAUUAGAGAGGAGGAUGGAGAACCAGUCAUGUACAGCUAUAUUAGACAGGAGGAGAGAGAACCAGUCUAGUAUAGCUACAUUAGAGAGGAGGAGGGAGAACCAGUCUAGUACAGCUACAUUGAAGAGGAGGAGGAGUGAGAACCAGUCUAGUAUAGAUACAUUAGAGAAGAGGAGGAGGGAGAACCAGCCUAGUAUAGAUACAUUAGAGAGGAGGAGGAGGGAGAACCAGUCUAGUAUAGCUACAUUAGAGAGGAGGAGGGAGAACCAGUCUAUUAUAGAUACAUUAGAGAGGAGGAGGGAGGACCAUUCUUGUACAUCUACAUUAGAGAGGAGGGGGAGGGAGAACCGGUCUAUUAUAGAUACAUUAGAGAGGAGGAGGGAGGACCAUUCUUGUACAUCUACAUUAGAGUGCAGGAGGAGAGAGAACCAGUCUAGUACAGCUACAUUAGAGAGGAGGAGGGAGAACCAGUCUAGUAUAGCUACAUUAGAGAGGAGGGGGAGGGAGAACCGGUCUAUUAUAGAUACAUUAGAGAGGAGGAGGGAGGACCAUUCUUGUACAUCUACAUUAGAGUGCAGGAGGAGAGAGAACCAGUCUAGUACAGCUACAUUAGAGAGGAGGAGGUGGGAGAACCAGUCUAGCAUAGAUAUAUUAGAGAGGAGGAGGAAGGAGAACCAGUCUAGUACAGCUACAAUAGCGAUGAGGAGGAGGGGGGAGAACCAGUCUAGUAUAGAUACAUUAGAGAGGAGGAGGGAAAACCAGUCUAGUACAGCUACAUUAAAGAGGAGGGAGAUCCAGUCUAGUAUAGCUACAUUAGAGAGGAGGAUGGAGAACCAGUCUAGUAUAUCUCCAUUAAAGAGGAGGGAGAUCCAGUCUAGUAUAGCUACAUUAGAGAGGCAGAGGGAGAACCAGUCUAGUAAAGCUACAUUAAAGAGGAGGAGGAGGGAGAACCAGUCUAUGAUAUAUACAUUAGAGAGGAGGAGGAGGGAUAACCAGUCUAGUAUAGCUACAUUAGAGAGGAGGAGGGAGAACCAGUCUAGUAUAGCUACAUUAGAGAGGAGGAGGAGAGAGAACCAUUCUAGUACAGCUCCAUUAAAGAGGAGGAGGGAGAACCAGUCUAGUAAUGCUACAUUAAAGAGGAGGAGGGAGUACCAGUCUAGUACAGCUAUUUUACAGAGGAGGAGGAGGAGGGAUAACCAGCCUAGUAUAGUUACAUUAGAGAGGAGGAGGAGGGAGAACCAGUCAAGCAUAUAUACAUUAGAGAGGAGGAGGAAAAACCAGUCUAGUACAGCUACACUUGAGAGGCGGAGGAGGGAGAACCAAUCUAGUACAGCUACAUUAAAGAGGAGGAGGAUGGAGAACCAGUCAUGUACACCUAUAUUAGAGAGGAGGAGGAGGGAGAACCAGUCUAGUACAGCUACAUUAGAGAGGAGGAGGGAGAACCAGUCUAGUAAUGCUACAUAAGAGAAGAAGAGGAGGGAGAACCAGUCUAGUACAGCUACAUAGGAGAGGAG